GACGAACGCUGGCGGCGUGCUUAACACAUGCAAGUCGAACGGAAAGGCCCUGCUUUUGUGUGGUGCUCGAGUGGCGAACGGGUGAGUAACACGUGAGUAACCUGCCCUUGACUUUGGGAUAACUUUUGGAAACUGUGGCUAAUACCGCAUAGUAGCUCCUGCUGCAUGGUGUGUGUUGGAAAGUUUCGGCGGUUGGGGUUGGACUCGCGGCUUCUCUGCUUCAUGGUGUGGUAGUGGAUUACCAAGGCUUUGACGGGUAGCCGUCCUGAGAGGGUGACCGGGCACAGUGGGACUGAGGAAGGGGCAGGAAGGAAACGGGAGGAAGCGGUGGAGAGCAUUGCAAAAAGGGCGGAGGCCUGAUACAACAACGCCGGGUGCGGAAUGACGGCCUUAGGGGUAGAAACCGCUUGCGACUGUAACGAAGAGUGAGUGACGGUAAUGGGUAAGAAAGCAACGGCUAACUACGUG
rnacentral:rRNA from 1 species